rnacentral:rRNA from 2 species
GAAUCUGGCUUCAGGUCGGGGACAACAGUUGGAAACGACUGCUAAUACCGGAUGUGCCGAGAGGUAAAAGAUUUAUUGCCUGAAGAUGAGCUCGCGUCUGAUUAGCUAGUUGGUGUGGUAAGAGCGCACCAAGGCGACGAUCAGUAGCUGGUCUGAGAGGAUGAUCAGCCACACUGGGACUGAGACACGGCCCAGACUCCUACGGGAGGCAGCAGUGGGGAAUUUUCCGCAAUGGGCGAAAGCCUGACGGAGCAAUACCGCGUGAGGGAGGAAGGCUCUUGGGUUGUAAACCUCUUUUCUCAAGGAAUAAAAAAAUGAAGGUACUUGAGGAAUAAGCAUCGGCUAACUCCGUGCCAGCAGCCGCGGUAAUACGGAGGAUGCAAGCGUUAUCCGGAAUGAUUGGGCGUAAAGGGUCCGCAGGUGGCAGUGUAAGUCUGCUGUCAAAGAAUGAGGCUUAACCUCAUCAAGGCAGUGGAAACUACACAGCUAGAGUACGGUCGGGGUAGAAGGAAUUCCUGGUGUAGCGGUGAAAUGCGUAGAGAUCAGGAAGAACACCGGUGGCGAAAGCGUUCUGCUAGGCCUGUACUGACACUGAGGGACGAAAGCUAGGGGAGCG